GGACGGGGAGGGGUGGGGUGGGAGUGGGUGGGUGCGUGCAAGGCGGCAUUGGGUGGCUUGCUGGAGCAGUGCUAGAGAGCUGGCCCUGGUGGUUCAGAUAAGGGAGAACUGUUGGGCUAGCCAUGAGCAGCUCAGCUACUACCCAGGUCCAGAUCCAAGGCUCUGAGUUGAUACCCCAAAAUCUCUAUCAUCUACAAAUGGUUGGGACUCGCGAAAGGACCAGUCUUGUUGUCCUAAAGCUGCAGAAUCGCCAUGACACAGGACAGUCCUGAUGAGGAUCCAGUAUUGGUGGUGUCAAAGAACCCAGAGAUCUCAAACCAGACCAAUGACUCUUGUGAAGAUGUGUGGACAGAGGGGUGCUCUGUGGGACACACUGUGCCACACUGUAGCUUCCAAGUUCCACCCGCUCUGCGUUGUUAGUGUCAGAUAUUUUACCUCAGUCUUCCUUCAUCAUGAUGUGAGUUGCGGUGGUCAGCCUCGGCUUUAAACAGUGCACGCAUGGGAA
rnacentral:lncRNA from 1 species